rnacentral:rRNA from 1 species
AGUCGAGCGGUAACAUUUCUAGCUUGCUAGAAGAUGACGAGCGGCGGACGGGUGAGUAACGCGUAGGAAUCUACCUAUUGGUGGGGGAUAGCCCAGGGAAACUUGGAUUAAUACCGCAUAAGCUCUUAGGAGGAAAGCGGGGGAUCUUCGGACCUCGUGCCAAUAGAUGAGCCUGCGUAAGAUUAGCUAGAUGGUGGGGUAAUGGCCUACCAUGGCGACGAUCUUUAGCUGGUCUGAGAGGAUGAUCAGCCACACUGGGACUGAGACACGGCCCAGACUCCUACGGGAGGCAGCAGUGGGGAAUAUUGCACAAUGGGCGCAAGCCUGAUGCAGCCAUGCCGCGUGUGUGAAGAAGGCCUUAGGGUUGUAAAGCACUUUCGGUGGGGAGGAAAGGUUAUAAGUUAAUACCUUAUAGCUGUGACGUUACCCACAGAAGAAGGACCGGCUAAUUCCGUGCCAGCAGCCGCGGUAAUACGGAAGGUCCGAGCGUUAAUCGGAAUUACUGGGCGUAAAGCGCACGUAGGCGGCUUGGUCAGUUGGGUGUGAAAGCCCCGGGCUCAACCUGGGAACUGCAUCCAAUACUGCCUGGCUAGAGUACGAGAGAGGGGGGUAGAAUUUCUAGUGUAGCGGUGAAAUGCGUAGAUAUUAGAAGGAAUACCAGUGGCGAAGGCGGCCCCCUGGCUCGAUACUGACGCUGA